UUGUAACUGCAAACGGAAUGGUCCAUUAGUUGUCAUAACCGCCAUGUCCGUGAUGGCAGGGCCUGGCCCUCCGAAUCCAACACACGCCUCCAGGCAGGCCUUGCCCUCCCCUAGCCCUGCCAAGCCAACACCCACCCGCUGUUUGGGUCACAGCACGACAUUGUCCCUUCUGGAGCGGGAGUGCAGCCUGCGCAGAGGCCUGAAGGCACGGCAGCGUGGCAAGUGGUGGAGUUUAUAGUCACCGGGGUUGGGUAGAGACAAAGGUUGGCGUGAAAGGAAGACCCAUGCCCCACACACGCACAAAGGGGAAAUUAAGGCCCAGAGAGCCUAUAGGAUCAGCUCUGAAGGAUGGGUUUCCAGAGAGCAGGAAUGCAAAAAAGGGAACAGCCCUCAGGGACGGCAGGGUGGCCCACAAUCAGAAUCGGGACUCACCACAACCUGAGCAGGAAGGUACAGUCCCUCCUCCCAGAGGAUCAGCUUACCCACCCAAGGAAUCACAGGACCUGGUCAACAUGUGCCGUCUGGAGCAAAGGGAAGCCAUGUGGCACUGGAUCUGAGGUGUUAGAUCUGCAUUGUGGUCUGAAAGCUCUGCCUGCCCAGUCCUGCUUCCUCUUCUUUUGAGUUGUCACCGGUGUUACCUCACAACAAACCUCUUGCACUCCUAAUCCCAUCUCACCGUGGGCUCCUGGAGGACCCACAUGGCAUACCCUCCUCUCAGUUAUCCUGCCGGGUGUGGUGUCUACUCUGAGCAGCUCAGCACAGCCUCUGGUACUUCGUUUGCUGCUGUAAAGGUCAAGCAGAAAGAUAUUCAGCAAAAAAAAGAAAAAAGAAAAUAUUCAGCAAAGAUAUAGAAAAUCUGAACAACAUAGAUUUCAUGUGGGAGAGGUGAUCCUUCGUCGGGUGACAGAGCCCAAGGAAUAGUCUAUUGAUUUCCAAUUACUCACAAAUCUUGGAUAAAGUAAGAUAUUUUUAAAUAAUCCUCUCACCCCCAUGAAUAAAAGGAAGCUGGAAAGUUCAUAAGUGAUCUGCCCAAGGUCUCCCAGCUGGAAGCCAGGAUUCAGAUUCAGGUCUGUCUGGCACCUAAAUCGAUUAGCCUGUCUCCCUUCCACCCCCUCAGCCCCUGUCCCAUUUAACAGCCCCACCCCACCACUUCCACUAUCAGGGAUCCCAGCCCACACCCAGUUCUUUGUUGCUGCCCCACCCGCCUCCCUACCACAUCCAUCCUCCAGGGCAUAAAACAGAGGUAAGUGCAUUAAAAAUUUAUACCGUACACUGGAAAAUGGCAGGUCCCAAAACAGAGAAUAUUAAGACCACCUGGGGCACUAAGGGAUUCUGGAGAGUUUUUGAAGUGUUUCCACAUUCCACAUUUCACUUAAUGCCCACAUGCAUCCUGUGAAAGAGACCAGUGUUAAUAGUUCUGUUUUAUAGAUAGGACAUGAGGCUCAGAGAAGCUGUGACCCAUCCAAGGUCACACAGUUAAGGAAAGCGCCUCAGUCAGGACUAAAGGGAUGUAAGUUUCUGGACGGAGAGGCACUGGCUAGAACCCAGCUCUUCCACAACCUGGGCCAGCGCUCCCGCCAUCCGCUCCAGGAAGCAGCAGUCUGCAUAAUGAUCUGAAGACAAUGUCUCCCCACUGAGCUCCUCCUCCCCAGCACAUGCUGUUUUCUCAUCCUUCUUCUUUUUUCUUCUCUUCUUUUUUCUCACCAUAAAUUACAUCCCUUGUCUAAAGAAUAAUUAAUGCCACUUAAAUAAAGGGAGCAGCAGCCUCAUUCCUGUGCUCACAUAAUUAAGGACUGUCACUUGCAUCGCCUGCCUGUGGACACACCCAAGGUGUACCCACCUCUUACUGAGCUUUGAACUAUGUGCCAAGCAGGUGCAUGCUUAGCUCAGUACAUCCUCACCGCAAGUCUCUGAAGUAGGUUUCCAUUUGCCCACUUUGCAGAUGAGGCAGUAGAGGCUCAGAAAUGUCACUCAUGGCUUGUUCAAGGUCAUAUAACUUGUAAGUGGCACAGCUAGACUUGAACCUAAGUUUGUCUGACACUAAAGUCCAUGUUCUUCACCCCACGGUUCCAACUGAGGGAUAACCAAACUGUGGCCAGCCUUUACUUCUCCAUCUUUAGAACUCUUCCUGUUAACAGAAUGCUUUAGCAUGCUUAUAGGUUAGACCAGGCUUGGAGAUAUCUAAUGAUAAUAAUAAUUGCGUUCAUCAUAUAGUGGGUGCUUACUUUAGGCAUUGUGCUUUACCCCAUUAUGUCUUUCAGUCCCCACCAAUACUUUGUGAAGUGAAUACUGCUAGCCCUGUUUUACAGAUGAGGUAACUGAGGCCACCAGCACAUAGUUUGUGUGUGAUAAAAUGAGGAUUUGGACUCAGAUCUGGGUGAUGCCUGAGCCCUUGCCUUAACCGCCUCUCCCCACCUUGCCUACCAGGUUUACUGUUCUUCCAAACAUGACACGAAUUCUCUCUGCCUCUGGAGUUGGGGCAAAAGAGGUAAGUCUGGUCAGUUUGGCCAUCAGGAAACUCAGAGCACCCUGAGUUCCCCAUCACCUUGUUUCUGCCUGAGGCUGGCUGCCUUUCCCUGCAAGAGAACUGCUCUGGGUUUCAGGACAGAUGCCAGGUAUCAGCUAGAAUGUCUGCUGGAGACCUGGGAACAUAUGUGACUUGCCUGUUUGGAAGUACAGAGGAGACCGGAGCUCACACUGUUUAAAAACAGUUCCCUUUCUUUCAGCAAGAUGUGUGUGCACUGCUUAUCCUCCAAAGAGAGGAGUCGGGUAUUUGAAUCAAAAGUGUGGGAUCUGGGAGUCUGCCAGGGGGCUCACUAAGGCAGCAGUCGAUGGUUGUUCGAGAGAGGGCCCCUUGGUUGCCAGGUGACAGAAAACCCAAACCAAACUGAUUUAAGCAAAGUUUAUUGACAUACAGAGCUAAAACCCCAGGGUAGGUGGAGCUUCAGGUGCAGCUUGAUCAGAGAAUCAAAGGAUGACUGACUCCAAGUCCUGCUUCUCAGCUUUGCUCUCCUCCACACUGGCUUCACUUCCUGUCACCGCAAGAUGGCGGCCAUAGCACCGAACCUCACACCCUGUCAGGAAAAGGGAGGAGGUGAUCUAGUAAGUCAAACAACUGAGUUUCACUAGCUCUAGCAGGCGUGGCUUCGCUCAACAUUGACAGUGGGAAAUGUGAUGCAUUGAUUGGCUGGGCCCUGGGGGUGGGGAUCAACAUACACCCAAUAGCAUGGACUUAGAGAGACAAAGGGUAGUGCCCUCAAAACCAUAUUGGGAUGCAUUAUAAGAAGCAGGAUAAGUAGGUGUUGGAUGUCAGAAAGAGAAAAAAGGAAGGAAAGAAGGAAGAGAGGAAGGAAGGAGGAAGGAAAGAAAGAGUGGUUAUGGAGAUGUGCCUAACAGCUUCCAGACAGCCUAUGCCCCAAAAGUUCAUUUGUAAAUCAGUUUCUAACUCAUUACAUUUGUACCCAUGUGGUUGAGAGGGAAGGGGGAAUUUUUAAUUGUAAAGUUCCCAGACUAGCCUAAAAAUUUUUAUUUAAUCCAUAAUAUAGUGGAAGUGCUUGGAUAUUUGCAAUGAAAAAUAGAAUGCAAAACUUAAAACCGUGGAUGAUAAAUAAAAAGAAUUGGGAUCUGAAACCUUGUCUUUGUAUGAGUGCUGAUGCUUGAGAAAAAGCAAGUUUAAUUAAUGAGACUAAGCUAGCAGAUGGAGACUCCAGUGGGGAUUUGAAGGGGGCUUCUGAGCACUUCCAAGGGCUCAGGAGGUUGAUGGCAGGGCUUUCUGUUACGCCGAAUUUCCCUUUACAUAUUACAGUUUUCUUCAUUCUUGAUAUAGGUGUGUCAAGAACAUUCUUACAUCUUCUUCUUCCAGGUGUACAAGGAAAAUGAGUCUUUGCAACUCCACCAUGAUUCAGAUCAUUCUGGAUUCACAAAUGCAAUCCAAGGGAGGGAAAGGAGAGCAGGAGAUGGUCCCACUGCACCUGGGCAAGAAGUGGUGGUUGGGGGGCAGGGCAGGGGAGGGACUAGAGGCUGGAUACUGAAUGUGAGAGGCUGGCCUACCUGGGGGGUACCCAAGCCUGCAGGACAGAGUAAAGGAGAAAGCUGCCAGCCUCCCCCUAUUAAUCACAGGCACAAGAUGUAUUCAAACCCAUCCUUCUCCAGCACUCUGCAUUUCCCCUGUCAGACCAUCUAGAAGUAUGGGGACAGCAACCAAGCUAAGCCUAGGCCGACGGCCCCCCUGUUGGUCGGUGAAGUCGGUGAGGUCCAUUCUCUGGCAGGAGCUCCAUUCAGAUGAUUAUUUUGUUGAUAUCAAUGAUGCAUACCUACUGAACGCCUAUGUGCCAGGCCCUCUCCAGUCAGCUUUACCCACUCAGGCCCCUGGCUUCAGAGCUGGAGCAAGAUGCUGACAAUGACUGUCGCCUUCUAUGCUUUGAUACCCCUUUCCAUUUGGCUCCCACAGCCUCUGAUAUCAAAAGCCCACUCUCGAUUCUUGGUUAACCUAGACCCCCUCUCCCUAGCUUGGGUCUCCAAUCAGAUUUCCCCUCACCACUUCCUUCCCUCUUAGAAAAGAGCUUUGCAGCACCUAGUUGACAAGGAUGAUUGAAACCCUCAGGGUUUGUUCAUUCAUUCAUUCAUUCUACAAAUAUUGAUUGAGCAUGGGGGUUUUUAAGUUCGGCAUGGUCUCACUGCACCACAGGCCAGGGGAGACAGACAGGAAGUACAGCCCUAUGAACAAUUCAAUAAUUGCUAAUGUGCAUAAGAGAAAAGCAACAAAUAACAUACAAAGGAACUCCCAUAAGGUUAUCAGCUGAUUUUUCAGCAGAAACUCUACAGGCCAGAAAGGAGUGGCACGAUAUAUUUAAAGUGAUGAAAGGGGAAAACUUAUAACCAAGAAUACUCUAUCUGGCAAGGCUCUUGUUCACAUUUGAUGGAGAAAUCAAAAGUUUCACAGAUAAACAAAAGCUAAAAGAAUUCAGCACCACCAAACCAGCUUUACAGCAAAUGGUAAAGGAACUUCUCUAG